UACGAAGGGGGCUAGCGUUGCUCGGAAUUACUGGGCGUAAAGCGCACGUAGGCGGUCUUUUAAGUCGGAGGUGAAAUCCUGGAGCUCAACUCCAGAACUGCCUUCGAUACUGAAGAGCUCGAGUCCGGGAGAGGUGAGUGGAACUGCGAGUGUAGAGGUGAAAUUCGUAGAUAUUCGCAAGAACACCAGUGGCGAAGGCGGCUCACUGGCCCGGUACUGACGCUGAGGUGCGAAAGCGUGGGGAGCAAACAGG
rnacentral:rRNA from 1 species